UGACCAAAAGGGUAAACCAAAUAGCUUUGAAUUUCCCCGCCAAAAAGGGCAAAUAAGUCCCUUCAUUAAACUGACACUUUAGAUUAGUAUAGAUUAUAUGCCCAAACAUCAAAUUAAUUCUUCUGGCCCAACACAAACUAAUUUAAAAGGCAAAGGCCCAAUACUAAUUAAAGUAAAAGAAAAAGGCCCAAAGCCUAACAUACUCCCACCAAUUCCAUCGGUCUCCCUCAUCUCUCAUUCCCAUCUCAAAAUUAAAUCCCCAAAUCCAGAAACCCUAGAUCGGAAAGGGAACACAGCGGCGCCCCUCCUCCUCUCCCGUCUACCACCUUUUCUCAUCACUUUCUCUGCCGUUCCGCCAGUGCCGACGGCUCUCCCAUUAUUUCUUAUCGGAGUCGCCGGUGGAGAAAGGCAUCGCCUUUUCCCCCACCGCGUCGCAUCAAUGGUCAAACACCGUCACUCGCGGCAGCGUGUACCCCUUUCUCCUCCUCCGGCGUCGUUCAGCUCCUCUGUCGGCGGGUAGGAUGCGUAGGUAGCGGCCUCGGCGCUGUUAGCGCUCCGCCCCUCGUCGCCGCCUCACCGGUUUCGAAGACGGCUCCAGCUCACCCUUCGCCGUGGUCGGCUACCCGUAGCACAAGCGGGAUUUGCUACUGCCCCGUGGAGUCCGCGCGCGUCCCUUGCCGUUGUCGGCUAUUCGUCGGGGCAGCCCUUCGGUCUCAAAAGAUAAGCUCUCCGUUUUACCCCACUUUGAUUGAUAUUCUUAGAUUUUUAGAGGUUUGAGCAUGAGAUAGAUUUGCAUUAGAAGUUAGGUUUAGAGUUGUGGUUUACAAGAUGGCUGUGGGGGUUCGUUCUACACAAAUUGGAGGGCUUGCAUAGACAUGAAGUUUCCCAUGAUGUGCAUACUAUUUGCUACUGAUUUUUGGUGUAAAGGUAGUAGCUUGUGGUUCUAGCUCUAUUAUUUCUACAUGAUGACAUGAAAUAAAACAUCUAGACUUGGUGGAGCAAGAGUUACCUGUUGGGGAGUUAUGAAAAGGUGUGAAAGAGCUCCCCCUCUGCUGCCUAGUUCUCGGUUCUCAAAGAUUAGAAGUAUGCUGAUUUUUUUUUGAUGUGGUGGAAGUGUGUUCAAGGUGGUGUUGAGGGGGUUUUAUAGGCUGAUCUUGGUGUACUUUGGUGUCAUUAAAGAGGGGCUGAUCUUCUUUGUUUUCAUGCCAUAGCAUAUCUCCCUUUUCAUGAUUUUUGCAGCACUUUUCAUUCAAAUGUUUUGGUGUUAUUUGGUGGUACUUGAUACUUGGCAUUUAAAUCUUUUGUUUGAUCUUGCAUAGUGUACAAGGAGAGUGUAGUGGCUGCCUUGAGGGAGAGGUGUUGCAGCCUUUGACUUGCUCCCUUAGGUGGGGUGGAGACUUGGCUGUCAUUGCUGCUGCUCUGGAUGGCCUGGGCUCACUGCCCUCGGCCGUCAGCUCCUUCGGGCCCGGCCCGUGGAGGGUGCGGUCUCGGGCCUAGGGAGGAGUGCCCAACGCACAUUUUUAUUUUAUUUUAUUUUAUUUAUCCUAGAAAUUCAUCUCGUCGAUUCGUGUAUAAGAAAUUUUGUAAUUAGAUGGUAGCUUAUUAUGUAUGUAAAAGUUAUUCGAACAUUUUUAGUCCGAACGAACCUUCUGUUCCUUGUCGAUGUUUGUACUCUUUUUCCUAAUUAUAUUAAAGUCGCCUUGGUUGUCCGA